rnacentral:rRNA from 1 species
UACGUAGGGGGCAAGCGUUGUCCGGAUUUAUUGGGCGUAAAGCGCGCGCAGGCGGCACCACAAGUACUUUAUGAAAUCUCCUUGCUCAACGAGGAGGGUAUAGAGUAGACUGUGGAGCUAGAGGAGGGUAGAGGGGGGUAGAAUUGCUGGUGUAGCGGUGAAAUGCGUAGAGAUCAGCAGGAAUACCCGUGGCGAAGGCGGCCCCCUGGGCCCUACCUGACGCUGAGGCGCGAAGGCUAGGGGAGCGAACGGG